AGCUUGCUCCCUCAAGUUAGUGGCGGACGGGUGAGUAACGCGUGAGUAACCUGCCUUUCAGAGGGGAAUAACAUUCUGAAAAGAAUGCUAAUACCGCAUAACAUCGUAGUAUCGCAUGGUACAGCGAUCAAAGGAGCAAUCCGCUGAAAGAUGGACUCGCGUCCGAUUAGCUAGUUGGCGGGAUAAAGGCCCACCAAGGCGACGAUCGGUAGCCGGACUGAGAGGUUGAUCGGCCACAUUGGGACUGAGACACGGCCCAGACUCC
rnacentral:rRNA from 1 species